AAUAACAUCCUGAGAAGGGUACUGUGCUGGUUUGAAUGAGAAUGGCCUUCAUCAACUCAGAUAUUUGAAUGCUUGGUCCCCAGUUACUGGAACUGUUUGGGAAGGAUUAGGAGGUAUGGUCUUGGUAGAGGCAAUAUAUCAGUGGGGUGGGCUUUGAGGUUUAAAAGAAAAAAACACAGCCACUCCCAGUGACUCUGCCUUGUGGUUCUAUCUCAAGAUGUGAACUCACAGCAACUUCUCCAGUGCCAUGCCUGCCCACCUGCUGCCAUGCUGUCUGCCAUGACAGCCCGAAACUAUGAACCUCAAGUACAUUCUUUCUCCUAUAAGUUGCAUUGGUUGUAGCAUCUCAUCAUAGCAAUAGAACAGUAACCAAGACAGUUGGUGAGGAAACACCAACUCCAAGAAGGAGAAACACAGCUGGACGUAGAACAGUGGUGAGUGAGAACUGUCGCCACGGAGAGCAUCGAGUUUCGAAUUUUCUGCUUCACUUCCACCAAGAGUGGUGCUGAAUCUAUGAGAGCUUCAGGCAAGCAAGCUCCAGAAAGUGAAAGGGGGUAGCAGAAAGAUUAGAGACUGCAUAUAUCUAAAGAGGAGGGAAAGGGGCAAAAGAUGGAGAGAGCCAGGGAGACAGGUCAGUGGGUGAAAGCACUUGGAGAGGAAGCCUGACCCUACUGAGUUCUGGGGAGAACACACAUGGUGGAAGGAGAGAACCAGCUCCUGCUGUCCUCUGACCUCUGCAUACGCUGUGGAGUAGAUGUGCCGCACCCAUACACACAGUGGUAGAGCACAUGCACAGUAAGAAGAAAUUUAAACAAUGCAAAGACAAGGAAUGCUUCUAAGCUGAUUCAUGGCACCAAUACUUGGGUCUGGCUAUAACGUAGUAGUAGAAGGCAUGCUUAGCAUGUGAGGGCCUGGGUUCCGGGUAAAAAGAAUAAAAAAUAAAAUAAGAUACAUAAAAUUGAAUAAAAUAAAAUUAAAUUGAACCAAGUUCACCCAUAACUGAGACAGAAAUUCCUUGAGAACAGAAGGGAAUGUGUGCCCUCUGUGCAGCUGCAUGUUUAACAUUUAUGGAGGUGGAAGACGGCAUUAGAAGAUACACAUAAAUCUCUAAGUCAAGUUAAUGUAGUGCAGGGUGGGUACAGAAGAAAGAGGAAGGUGUUUUCCAGAAGCUCACUUGUGUUUGGGUCUUCACCAAAGCAAUAUUAUUCAGGGGAACCCACAGUGAGAAAAUAAAGUGUUACGGAAGAAAUUUCAUAAACUACCAAGUUCUCAUGGUUUAGCAGAUAACCGCUGUUAAAUUGAAGAGUAGCUUCGCCGGUAAUGGGAAAGCACAGCUGCGAAAAAAAAUCUUGGUGACCAAGACUAACGCUUUUCAAAAUAUUUUUGCAACAGCAUCUUGAUUACGAAAUGGUGGUGUGAGAAGUAAGUUUCUCCCAUAGUCUCUGGCAUUUCAAGAUCAUGGUGUUCCGAUAGGUUGGAAGGUGUGGCCCUGCUGAAUGCCCACCCCACUCCCCGUUUGCCCACUGUGCAUCACUCUUUGUGUCUCGGAUGUGAGCUCUCAGCUUUAUGAUCUUUCCACCAUGCCUGCCUGCUGUCAUGCCUCCCAGCCAUGACAGACUUUUAUGUCUCUGGAAUUAUAAGUCCAAAACACUCUUCCUUCUAUAACUCACUUCCAGCCAUGGGGUUUUGCCACUGUAAUAGGAAACUAACUAACACAGAGCAAUGGUGUGUUAAGAUUUCCAACUCAGGCUGGAAGUGUGGUUGAGCAGUGAGGAGCACUCAGCAGUUGGCUGCGUUUCGGCUCAGGACUUGGGUUUGGUUUCCAGCACUCACCUUGUGCCUCAAAAACGUACUGAAGUUCAGUUUCCAGGAAUUAUAUAGCCAUUUCAGGUCUCCACAGCACUGCACUGUGCAGAUUACAUGCAGUGCAAUUACAUGUAUAAGGACCUCAAAAACAUUUCUAAUUUAGCAACCUGGAGUCCCCUCUGCUCUGGUCUGCACACCAGGGUUCUGCAGUCUAGACAACUCCGUGAGUAUUCUCCCACAAGGUGCCAUGAUGCUGAGGGCCUUGGUUGUUACUCAUUUAUUUUGAUCUUUGAGAGACCAAAUCUUUUGGGUUCAGACUCCACCUUAGAGAACCUGACCUAAGGUUAAGCUCAAGUUAACUAACAGGCUGGUACCCAGCACCAGUUUAUACGUCACCCCCAUAGACAAGACCUAUGUCUAGCACCAAUUUCUCAACAAAUCUGCACCCCCAGGUUACAAGCCUGCCCCUGAUACUUCGCUUCCUAAUAACCACCAAUCAGGAGGAAAGCAGAAGUUAAGUUUAUGGUUUGGCUCCCAGGACCAGCCAAUUAUGUUAAAGGCCAUAAUGGCUCCCUUAUCAGCAUCUAUAAAUGCUUGCCUAAAACUAGGCUCAGGGCUCCACCUUCCUGCUGUGUCAGGGUUGGUGGGGAGCCCAAGCUGGAGCUUGAAUAAAGAGAGUCUAAUGCGAUUGCAUUGAAGUCAGCUCCUUAGUGGUCUUUUGGGGUUCACGAACGCUUCCUGGUACAACAUCUUCACUGUGACAGGUGUUCCCUGAUUAAGAAGAAGUCUAGGAAGAAGAUGCUGUGACCCCUGUGUUUCCCAGCCUGAUAAAGUGUCCUGAAUUUGGAAGAAAGCAGCUUCUUGCAGAAAGACCUCCACUGGGUUCUAGGGCAUUCGGGUGCAGCCUUCUGUUCUGUUCUGUUCUGUUCUGUUCUGUUCUGUUCUGUUCUGUUCUGUUCUGUUCUGUUCUGUUCUCUGUUCUGUUGUCCCCAAGGGCUCAUCAAACAGCAGCAUCCAGAGAAAAAGAAAGAGGAGACAGAAAUUGGAGCUGAAGAGACCCUAGACUUGGGACAAAGAGCAACUCGAAGGCUCCAGGCUCCACAAAUGACAAAGUGCUUGAGGUUACAGAAAGAAGACUCAUAUUCUUGAGUCGUCUUGAGAGACUCAAGAGUAGAAAAUCCAAAGUGUACCUGGUGAAUUUCUCUACCUCCUCCAACCCAGAAUUCAACUGAGUUUGGAAUAUUCUAGAUUCUACUAAUGAAGGAAGAAAAAGACGGUUCCAAGACUGCGCGUUGCUCAAGGACACUAGGAAACCAUUCAAAGUACCUUACAACUGAAGUUCAAUAAAUAAAUUAUAAAUAAA